rnacentral:rRNA from 1 species
GACGAACGCUGGCGGCGUGCUUAACACAUGCAAGUCGAACGAAGUGGCGAACGGGUGAGUAACGCGUAAUCAACCUGCCCUUCAGAGGGGAACAACAGUGGGAAACGACUGCUAAUCCCGCAUACUGAAGGAGGGGACUGCGUUUGAUUAGCUAGGUGGGGGGGGAACGGCCCAACAAGGCGAUGAUCAGUAGCCGGUCUGAGAGGAUGAACGGCCACAUUGGGACUGAGACACGGCCCCGACCCCUACGGGGGGCAGCAGUGGGGAAUCUUCCGCAAUGGACGAAAGUCUGACGGAGCACAUCCGCGUGAGUGAUGACGGCCUUCGGGUUGUAAAGCUCUGUUAAUCGGGACGCGGUACCGGAAUAGAAAGCCACGGCUAACUACGUGCCAGCAGCCGCGGUAAUAC